UACGAAGGGGGCUAGCGUUGCUCGGAAUCACUGGGCGUAAAGGGUGCGUAGGCGGGUCUUUUAAGUCAGGGGUGAAAUCCUGGAGCUCAACUCCAGAACUGCCUUUGAUACUGAAGAUCUUGAGUUCGGGAGAGGUGAGUGGAACUGCGAGUGUAGAGGUGAAAUUCGUAGAUAUUCGCAAGAACACCAGUGGCGAAGGCGCUCACUGGCCCGAUACUGACGCUGAGGCACGAAAGCGUGGGGAGCAACA
rnacentral:rRNA from 1 species